UACAGAGGUGGCAAUCGUUGUUCGGAAUUACUGGGCGUAAAGGGCGCGUAGGCGGUUUCGUAAGUCCUGUGUGAAAUCCCCCGGCUCAACUGGGGAACUGCACAGGAAACUGCGAGGCUUGAGUUCGGGAGAGGGAAGCGGAAUUCCGGGUGUAGCGGUGAAAUGCGUAGAUAUCCGGAGGAACACCGGUGGCGAAGGCGGCUUCCUGGACCGACACUGACGCUGAGGCGCGAAAGCCAGGGGAGCAAACGGG
rnacentral:rRNA from 1 species